CCUACGGGUGGCAGCAGUGAGGAAUAUUGGUCAAUGGACGAGAGUCUGAACCAGCCAAGUAGCGUGAAGGAUGACUGCCCUAUGGGUUGUAAACUUCUUUUAUAUGGGAAUAAAACAGGGUAUGCAUACCCUCUUGUAUGUACCAGAUGAAUAAGGAUCGGCUAACUCCGUGCCAGCAGCCGCGGUAAUACGGAGGAUCCGAGCGUUAACCGGAUUUAUUGGGUUUAAAGGGAGCGUAGGUGGAUUGUUAAGUCCGUGGUGAAAGUUUGCGGCUCAACCGUACAAUUGCAGUUGAAACUGGCAGUCUUGAGUACAGUAGAGGUGGGCGUAAUUCGUUGUGUAGCGGUGAAAUGCUUAGAUAUCACGA
rnacentral:rRNA from 1 species